GACGAACGCUGGCGGCGUGCUUAGCACAUGCAAGUCGAACGGAAAGGCCCUGCUUUUGUGGGGUGCUCGAGUGGCGAACGGGUGAGUAACACGUGAGUAACCUGCCCUUGACUUUGGGAUAACUUCAGGAAACUGGGGCUAAUACCGGAUAGGAGCUCCUGAUGCAUGGUGGGGGUUGGAAAGUUUCGGCGGUUGGGGAUGGACUCGCGGCUUAUCAGCUUGUUGGUGGGGUAGUGGCUUACCAAGGCUUUGACGGGUAGCCGGCCUGAGAGGGUGACCGGCCACAUUGGGACUGAGAUACGGCCCAGACUCCUACGGGAGGCAGCAGUGGGGAAUAUUGCACAAUGGGCGGAAGCCUGAUGCAGCAACGCCGCGUGCGGGAUGACGGCCUUCGGGUUGUAAUCCGCUUUCGCCUGUGACGAAGCGUGAGUGACGGUAAUGGGUAAAGAAGCACCGGCUAACUACGU
rnacentral:rRNA from 1 species